UACGGGAGGAAAAGAAACCAACCGGGAUUGCCUUAGUAACGGCGAGUGAAGCGGCAAAAGCUCAAAUUUGAAAUCUGGUACCUUUGGUGCCCGAGUUGUAAUUUGGAGAGGGCAACUUUGGGACCGUUCCUUGUCUAUGUUCCUUGGAACAGGACGUCAUAGAGGGUGAGAAUCCCGUGUGGCGAGGAGUGCGGUUCUAUGUAAAGUGCCUUCGAAGAGUCGAGUUGUUUGGGAAUGCAGCUCUAAGUGGGUGGUAAAUUCCAUCUAAAGCUAAAUAUUGGCGAGAGACCGAUAGCGAACAAGUACAGUGAUGGAAAGAUGAAAAGAACUUUGAAAAGAGAGUGAAAAAGUACGUGAAAUUGUUGAAAGGGAAGGGCAUUUGAUCAGACAUGGUGUUUUGCGCCCUCUGCUCCUUGUGGGUGGGGGAAUCUCGCAGUUCACUGGGCCAGCAUCAGUUUUGGUGGCAGGAUAAAUCCGUAGGAAUGUAACUUGCUUCGGGAAGUAUUAUAGCCUAUGGGAAUACUGCCAGCUGGGACUGAGGACUGCGAACGUAGUC
rnacentral:rRNA from 1 species